rnacentral:rRNA from 1 species
ACCUGGUUGAUCCUGCCAGUAGUCAUAUGCUUGUCUUAAAGAUUAAGCCAUGCAUGUCUAAGUAUAAGCAUUUAUACCGCGAGACUGCGAACGGCUCAUUAAAACAGUUAUGGUUUAUUUGAUGGUUCCUUUGCUACUUGGAUAACCGUAGUAAUUCUAGAGCUAAUACAUGCACGAAGGGGCGACUUACGAAGCCCUGUAUUUAUUAGAUUAAAGCCAACCGCCUCCGGGCGCUCGUGGUGAAUCAUAGUAACUUAUCGGAUCGCCGGCUCUAUGCCAGCGACGUGUCAUUCAAAUUUCUGCCCUAUCAGCUUUAGAUGGUAGGAUAUGGGCCUACCAUGGCGGUGACGGGUAACGGAGAAUUAGGGUUCGAUUCCGGAGAGGGAGCCUGAGAAACGGCUACCACUUCUAAGGAAGGCAGCAGGCGCGCAAAUUACCCAAUCCUGACUCAGGGAGGUAGUGACAAGAAAUAACAAUAAACCGGCUUAUGCCGGUUUAAUUGGAAUGAGUACAAUUUAAACAUCUUAACGAGGAACAAUUGGAGGGCAAGUCUGGUGCCAGCAGCCGCGGUAAUUCCAGCUCCAAUAGCGUAUACUAAAGUUGUUGCAGUUAAAAAGCUCGUAGUUGGAUUUCUGUGGGGACGGGGCGGCCGGCCGCAACUCGCGGUUCGAGCUAGCACUUUCCCUACAUCCUGCCGCGAACCGUGCUACCAUUAGUUUGGUGGCGCCGGGGAUCGGCUCGAUUACUUUGAGAAAAAUAGAGUGUUCAAAGCAGGCCACACGCCUUGAAUAAGUUAGCAUGGAAUAAUAACUAAGGACUUCGGUUCUAUUUUGUUGGUGUUCGGGACUGAAGUAAUGAUUGAUAGGGACAGUUGGGGCGGUCAGUAUUCCAAAGCGAGAGGUGAAAUUCUUAGACCUUCGGAAGACUAACAGCUGCGAAAGCGUUCCGCAAGGAUGUUCCCUUUGAUCAAGAACGAAAGUUGGGGGAUCGAAGACGAUCAGAUACCGUCGUAGUCUCAACUAUAAACUAUACCAGCUAGGGAUCGGCCAACGUUAUUUUAUACCGACUUGGUCGGCACCUUAUGAGGAAUCAAAGCAUCUGGGUUCCGGGGGGAGUAUGGUCGCAAGGCUGAAACUUAAA